rnacentral:rRNA from 1 species
UACGGGAGGCAGCAGUGGGGAAUAUUGCACAAUGGGCGCAAGCCUGAUGCAGCCAUGCCGCGUGUAUGAAGAAGGCCUUCGGGUUGUAAAGUACUUUCAGUCGUGAGGAAGGUGUUAAGGUUAAUAACCUUAGCAAUUGACGUUAGCGACAGAAGGAGCACCGGCUAACUCCGUGCCAGCAGCCGCGGUAAUACGGAGGGUGCGAGCGUUAAUCGGAAUUACUGGGCGUAAAGGGCACGCAGGCGGUUAAUUAAGUUGGAUGUGAAAUCCCCGGGCUUAACCUGGGAAUGGCAUUCAAGACUGGUUAGCUAGAGUCUUGUAGAGGGGGUAGAAUUCCAUGUGUAGCGGUGAAAUGCGUAGAGAUGUGGAGGAAUACCGGGUGGCGAAGGCGGCCCCUGGGACAAAGACUGACGCUCAUGUGCGAAAGCGUGGGGAGCAAACAGGAUUAGAUACC